CGUUAGUCAGUUUCUUGGUGUUAGGGAGCGGGUGGAGGCUGCGUGGUGUACGAUGUGAGGCUUUUUAGCAGUAUUAAUCUUACUCUUGGGGGAACAGUGUUCCGAAAAAGGACAAAGUUUCAGUCGCGGACUAUCGGCGGUAUCGAGCGGAGAGUCUCAGUGAGGGGACGGGCGGCACCGGCUCUUGCACAAAUACCGAGUGUCUAUGAUGCUCGAAUUGACAAGACGAGUUUCUGUAGACUCCCAGACCCAGUCUGUUCUCUAGCUUUAACCCAUCCGUGUAACAUGAUCUUCCAGAUGACAAUGCAAAGGUUCCCUCAAUCCAACACUGUGCUGCAGUGCCUCGCAAUCGACCUCAAGUGUCGUCUCAGCUAUCCGAUUAGAAACUUCUUCCAUUCCUUCUAGGUUUCCUAUCGUCACCUCGAUUAUACCGCGAUGGUAAGUCCUGCUCUUAUCCUCUAUCCAUUCUUCCAUCGCCUUAAGUCUCAUGGGAGAAUGGAGAGAGGAUAGGAGCAGUCAUACCAUCGUGGUUUAAUUAAGUCGACAAUUGGAAACUUCGAAGGAAUGGAAGAGAUUUUCGAUCGAAUUUUCUGCAAAGACA